CCCUAGUAACGGCGAGUGAAGCGGGAUGAGCUCAAGCUUAAAAUCUCUGUGCAGGUUCUGCAUGGCGAAUUGUAGUCUAUGGAGGCGAUGUCAGUGCGGUUGUGCGGGAUAAGUUCCUUGGAAGAGGACAGCAUCGAGGGUGAUACUCCCGUAUGUGCCUGUACAGCUGCGCGUACGACACGUUUUCUUUGAGUCGCGUUGUUUGGGAAUGCAGCGCAAAGUAGGUGGUAAAUUCCAUCUAAAGCUAAAUAUUGGUGCGAGACCGAUAGCGAACAAGUACCGUGAGGGAAAGAUGAAAAGAACUUUGAAAAGAGAGUUAAAGAGUACCUGAAACUGCUGAAAGGGAAUCGAAUCGUUUCCAGUGUCUAUAAUCCAUGACAUAUUUCAUUGGCGCGUGAAUGCGUGCAGCGUUUUGGAAGUGGGUUUCCUCUCCUGGCGUUGUUGUGCGUUUGCUUGCUGGUGCCCUGUGUUGUGGUGGGACGUCAGAGUCAGUUCGUAUGCCGCGGGAAAUGGCUGUCAGGGAGGUAGGUCGCUUCGGUGAUUGUUAUAGCCUGGCAGUUAGUAGUCGUGGUUGGGACUGAGGUGCCUACAACGCGCUUUCGAGUCUGCGGGACUCUCGUCUGGUUGCCUGCUUGGACAGCUUGCUGUGCUAGUGGUCACAUCGGGCGAUUGAGAUCUGUAGUAACUUGU
rnacentral:rRNA from 1 species